rnacentral:rRNA from 1 species
AAAAAUAUUCUCUGCUCCAUGAUGUAAAUAGCCGCAGUAUUUUGACUGUGAUAAGGUAGCAUAGUAAUUUGUCUUAUAAUUGAAGGCUGGUAUAAACGAGGGGUCGACUUCACGUCUUUCUUAGGGUGUCACCAGAAGCUAAUAUUUGCGUGAAAAAGCGCAACUACCCAAAAAGACGAUAAGACCCCGUAAAGCUUUAUCAAAAUCACUGUGUCAAAUUUAGGAUGUACUGACGGGGAAUAUUGAUUAAAGCUGGGGCGGCAAACAAUUUGCUUUGUUAAUUAGAACACUUUGUGUGAAAAUUAAGAUCUUUUUUAGAUAUAGAAUAAGUUACUUCGGGGAUAACAGCACAAUUUUUCUUUAUAGAUCGCAUAGAAGGAAAAGACUUGUGACCUCGAUGUUGAAUUGGAGAGCCUUGCUUGAGUAGAAAUAAGCAGAGGGGGUCUGUUCUAUCUUUAAUUCUUC